rnacentral:rRNA from 1 species
CGAUGGGCCGACGUCGCAUGCUCCGGCCGCCAUGGUUAGAGUUUGAUCAUGGCUCAGGACGAACGCUGGCGGCAUGCCUAAUACAUGCAAGUCGUGCGAACGCUUCAAGGAGCUUGCUCUUUGAAGUAGUUAGCGGCGGAUGGGUGAGUAACACGUGGGCAACCUGCCCUACAGAUGGGGAUAACUCCGGGAACCGGGGCUAAUACCGAAUAAACAGUUCGUCCGCAUGGACGAACUCUGAAAGACGGUUUCGGCUGUCACUGUAGGAUGGGCCCGCGGCGCAUUAGCUAGUUGGUGGGAUAAUAGCUUACCAAGGCAACGAUGCGUAGCCGACCUGAGAGGGUGAUCGGCCACACUGGGACUGAGACACGGCCCAGACUCCUACGGGAGGCAGCAGUAGGGAAUCUUCCACAAUGGACGAAAGUCUGAUGGAGCAAUGCCGCGUGAGUGAAGAAGGUUUUCGGAUCGUAAAGCUCUGUUGUAAGGGAAGAACAAGUACGGGAGUAACUGCCCGUACCUUGACGGUACCUUAUUAGAAAGCCACGGCUAACUACGUGCCAGCAGCCGCGGUAAUACGUAGGUGGCAAGCGUUGUCCGGAAUUAUUGGGCGUAAAGCGCGCGCAGGCGGCCUUUUAAGUCUGAUGUGAAAGCCCCCGGCUCACCGGGGGAAGGUCAUUGGAACUGAGAGGCUUGAGUACAGAAGAGGAAAGCGGAAUCCACGUGUAGCGGUGAAUGCGUAGAGAUGUGGAGAACACAGUGGCGAAGGCGGUUUCUGGCC